GGGAGGGAAGAGAAGGACCCACGUCCCCGCGGCUGAAAAUGCCUCUAAUGUUGACUGUGUGGGAUAGCUCCUUUGCUAUAGCUGCAGUGACCCCCAUUUAGUGACUCUGAUCUCAUUUUUCUUCCUCUGUAUCUGAGGAAUGGCCUAUCCAGGGACUGGCAAAAGGAGAAAAACAAGAUGCAGAGGAAUGAGACCGAGAAUACCACAGUGUGAACAGUUCCCCCAAAGUGCUUCAUUUCGGCUCCAGAGAAGGACGCAUGCCCCUGUUUCCUGUCGGGAGAGUGUAAGCUUGGGUGCAGGUGUGAUGGACCCGGGCAGAGGAAGAGGCUGGGUGGAGAAAGCAGAGAACUGUGUGGACGUCUGUGUGCAUCAAACAACUAUAGAGAAUAAAUGUCGAACAAUGAUGUGCCAGGAGAUAUUAGCCUGAAAAGAUUUCACAAACAAGAUGAAAUUUAAGCAGCAAUUUGAAAGUAAAAUGAUACAUGCCACAGAGGAUUGUUUAUGAAGUAAGUCAAAUCUGUGUGAAUUUUCCCAGCUAUUUGUUUGGCAAUAUGGCAAACUGAGUCACUUUGAAAGAAUCCAUCUUUUUUAUACAUGUAAACCAUGGAAUACUAUGCAGCCAUUAAAAAGAACGAGAUCAUGUCCUUUGCAGGAACGUGGAUGGAGCUAGAGGCCAUUAUCCUUUGCAAAUUAUCAGAAACUGCCAUUAUCUUUUGCAGAAACAGAAAGCCAAAUACUGCAUGUUCUCACUUAUAAGUGGGGACCAAAUGAUGAGAACACAUGGACGUGAGUAGGGAACGACAGACACUGGAGCCUGGUUGAGGGUGGAGGGUGGGAGGAGGGAGAGGAUCAGGAAAAAUAACUAAUGGGAGCUAAGCUUAAUACCUGGGUGAUGAAAUAAUCUGUACAACAAACCCCCAUGACACGAGUUCACCUAUAGAACCUGCACGUCUACCCCUGAAUUGAAAAUAAAAGUUAAAUUUAA